UUCCAACACACCUGUGUCUCAUCUGUAAUCAGUCAGACCUGUAUUUAAACCCCUGUGUUUGCACUGGUCCUCUACCAGAUUGUCAUCGUUACCUUAGUGUUUCAUGCUUUCCAGCCUUAUUUACCGUGUGUUUUCUUGCCUGGUUUUGACCUUUGAUUGGAUUUUUGGUUUUGUGGAUUUGCCCUUGCUGGAUUUUACUGCCCUCGCUGACUGUCUUCUUGGGUAUGACCUACAAACGUUUAAAGGAGUGGAGGUGUUGGAGCAGCGGGGUUAAUCAGAAACAUGCUGAAGUCAGGAUUUUCCUGCCACCUUCCACCUCAGGGGCGGAGCCAGGGGAAGUCAGUGGUCCGGUUCAGCCACCCAGUGAAGAAAAAGUCUUACUGGCUAUAUGCUACUGGUCAUGUGCUUUAUGUGUAAUUAGAUAUCGUUGACUUGUUUGACAGAUACAUUCAGAAAUCAUCAAAAAAUAUAAAGAAAUGUUUUAUUUCAGCA